rnacentral:rRNA from 1 species
GACGAACGCUGGCGGCGUGCUUAACACAUGCAAGUCGAACGGAAAGGCCCUGCUUGCAGGGUACUCGAGUGGCGAACGGGUGAGUAACACGUGGGUGAUCUGCCCUGCACUUCGGGAUAAGCUUGGGAAACUGGGUCUAAUACCGGAUAGGAGCCAUCUUUAGUGUGGUGGUUGGAAAGUUUUUUCGGUGUAGGAUGAGCUCGCGGCCUAUCAGCUUGUUGGUGGGGUAAUGGCCUACCAAGGCGGCGACGGGUAGCCGGCCUGAGAGGGUGUACGGCCACAUUGGGACUGAGAUACGGCCCAGACUCCUACGGGAGGCAGCAGUGGGGAAUAUUGCACAAUGGGCGCAAGCCUGAUGCAGCGACGCCGCGUGGGGGAUGAAGGCCUUCGGGUUGUAAACUCCUUUCGCUAGGGACGAAGCUUUUUUGUGACGGUACCUAGAGAAGAAGCGCCGGCUAACUACGUG